rnacentral:rRNA from 1 species
AGCAGCCGCGGUAAUUCCAGCUCCAAUAGCGUAUAUUAAAGUUGUUGCAGUUAAAAAGCUCGUAGUUGAAUUUCGGGACCAAAUUGUCGGUCGUGCCUCGGUACGUACUGGCGUUAUUGGUUCCUCCCUUCUGAAGAACUACGAUGUCAUUAAUUUGGUGUCGCGGGGAAUCAGGACUGUUACUUUGAAAAAUUAGAGUGUUUAAAGCAAGCUAACGCUUGAAUACAUUAGCAUGGAAUAAUGAAAUAGGACGUUCGAUCCUAUUUUGUUGGUUUCUAGGAUUGACGUAAUGAUUAAUAGGGAUAGUUGGGGGCAUUAGUAUUCAAUUGUCAGAGGUGAAAUUCUUGGAUUUAUUGAAGACUAACUACUGCGAAAGCAUUUGCCAAGGAUGUUUUCAUUAAUUCAAGAACGAAAGUUAGGGGAUCGAAGACGAUCAGAUACCGUCGUAGUCUUAACCAUAAACUAUGCCGACUAGGGAUCGGAUGAUGUUAAUUUUUUAAUGAACUUCAUUCGGCGCCUU